GGUUGGUGGCCAAUUUCGCAUUGUGAAACGGUGGAAAUGGAAGGCGACCACGCAGGUGGGAGUUGUAUAUGGAGAUGGCACAUCAUUUGCAGCAGCUGUUGAGCUAUUUUUGCAAAGAGAAAUUUUGUGAGGGAGAAAGGGAAAGACAAGGAGGAAGGACCUGAACAAGAGGAGAAAAGGAUCACCUCUUUUUUUUCACCCUUGCUAGUGCCUACUGCCUGCUCUGGCAUUGGAGAUCCAGACCUGGGAACCCAAGGUGGGGUCAAGUAGGGGCGUGAGGAAAAAGAAGUUGGUGGCCAGAGAGGUGUGAGAGCUUCAGAAGGGGAGGGAAGGGCACGUGAUGGCCUGGGGACCACGUCCAAUGCGUGCUUUGUUGGGUUCACACGUCUUUGUUGCUAUCGGGGGAGGGUUUUCCUUUUCUGGGAUGGGGGACAUAAUCUUUCCUUUUAUAGCGGCCGCUGGGGAACGCUAGGGAGCAGCCGGCCGCUCCCUAGACGCGUCCCUUAAUUGAUUAUCUGGCCUCAAAUUAUUAAAUAGUCCCACCUUGUGUUUCUUAUAUUCAACCCUUUCAAUUUAUAUAUCUCUUUGAAGUUCCUGGGUGUUAAGGAACUGUCUCGGGAAUUAGUAAGCAAGGAUAACAAGGAAUGAGGAAUAGAAAACACUUCGGCCCAGGCGCCCAGCCAUGUGAUGGCAAAAAAAAAGUCUUCAAAAUUUAUAGCUGCCAUAUUCUUUAUUUUCUUUAUUAUUUAUCGGGUACAAACUGUUACUUUCUUAGGUAGAUCUAUGUAUAUAUAUUCAUUAUUCUGAUCGUU